CGCCCCUCGCCGCCCCCGCCGCCGCCCGCCGGGCCUCCCGCCGCCGCCGCCCGCCCUCCCCGCGGCCUGGCAGGCUGCCGGCUGCACAGGCGGGGGUUCGCGCCGUUCUCACGACCUCUCAGGGGUCGAGGCUGAAGGUAUUGGAAAGAGCCGACUGCUGUCUGCUAGGUCACCCCUGUGGUAGAGCCGCACUCCACACUGGCCUGUGGGAAAGGCUGGAGCCAGGCGGGGGAGAGGGCUCGUGGUUUUCAUUUUCCCAACACCUGGAUGCAGUCAAACACCUGGCCAAAUCUGACAAAAUCUGACAAGCCUUUGUGAUGGGAUUUGGAAGAAAUUCCCUGCAGAUCCUGGCACAGUUUAAAGCUGUCCGCUUUGAGUUAGGACUUGUUAAGGAGGGUUGUGUGAGCUGAAACCCGAGACAACCCUUUUGCUUCUAUCUGGAGCCCACAUCUUGCCUGGAAAUGGGGCAUGACCAAGCGAAGGGGUCGCUUGCUGUUUGUAUUAAAAGGGGGAAAACGGCCUGUGUGCCUGCCAGCGCGGCCCCCACAUGCUUUCUCCAUUAAAGUCAAGCACAGAAA